CCAACCUGUUCGUCUACAUGUGGGAGGUUGGCGUCGGACCUGACCUGGCUAUGCAUCGUAGGUACAUUAUGCUCUAUGAAAACCAGUGACCGUGGAUGUUUCUCUCCACCACCGGAUACAUCUGAGAGGGACGCCAAGACGCUGGAAGUUCAGCAUGCCUUUACCAAACGCUGCCUCAUCACAACUACUGAGCUGAUCUGCGAGACGAGUGUGUUCCACAGAAGGGGUGAAGACUGACAACAAACUGUACUCUGGCCAUCAUUGGUGCAGAACCUCCCUCCUGGAUUCCACCUGCAGGCCCCAAGAGACAGUUGACACCCACCAGGGGUCUAACUUUGGACUCUACACCUGUAAAACAAAGUCAUGGCAGGGUUCAAAGUCUCUAGGCUAGUAGUGGCUUUGUCCCAUAGUAUCUUUGGAUUAAAUUGAUUGGCAAUCCUUUCAGAUGGACUACCAGUGGUGAAUGGGAUCGUGUUCUACAAGCAAUACUCACCCGAAGACGGGCUUGUCAUCAGACAUCUUAUAGCUUUGCCAGAGGCUAGACUCCCAUUGUGAUUCCUCGGACUCUGACGAUGACACGGACUACAAAGUACCCUGUUACAACAAUCUACUAAAUUAAUUUGGGUCCCCUGGCCACACCCAGCAAUUUAAACUAGCAUUGAAUCAAUACUUUCAUGUUAUUACUCUAUUUAAAAUGAAUAAAUUGUUGGCU